rnacentral:rRNA from 1 species
UACGUAGGGUGCGAGCGUUGUCCGGAAUUAUUGGGCGUAAAGAGCUUGUAGGCGGUCUGUCGCGUCUGCUGUGAAAAUCCGGGGCUCAACCCCGGACUUGCAGUGGGUACGGGCAGACUAGAGUGUGGUAGGGGAGACUGGAAUUCCUGGUGUAGCGGUGAAAUGCGCAGAUAUCAGGAGGGACACCGAUGGCGAAGGCAGGUCUCUGGGCCACUACUGACGCUGAGAAGCGAAAGCAUGGGGAGCGAACAGG